UUUAGUACUAAAUUAAGCAUUUAGCCGAUCAAAUUUACGGCUGAAUUCCCAUAUUCUCCCGAUCGUUCUACAAUAUGAAUUCAGAAAAGUCCUCCAAUUUCUCAUUCUCUCUCCCUCUCACUAAGUCAGCAGACCCGUCGUCCUCUUCACCUACCAAGCCUUUUGCGGUCAAACCGGCCCGUCGGUGUCGAGUCCAACCAUAUAGAUUUGACUCCUCCUUCUCCCUCACUAUCUCUCUCACUGCUUCCCCUUUUUUAGCCUUUUCUUGUUAAAGAUUAUCAACAGAUUGAAGCUUCAGGUCUCACGGUCAUCAAGCAAUUUUAAAGAGAUAGACCCAAAUUAAUUCAAGGUAACAUUUAGGUAGUCAAUUGGGUAGUUAAAAUUUUUAGUUUUUGAUGAAAGUGACCUAUUUCAUUAUGGAAAAUAGUGAUCACCUGAGUUAAGAAAAAUCAUUAAUUUUCUUUUUCUUUUAACUUUUUAUUGCAUAAGUUUAGAUUAUGCUUAAGGUGCCCAGUGAAUUAGACCCAUUUUUUAAUUUCAGUUCUUUGGUACUUGAGCUGUCGAAUCACUGUUUAAUAUUUAAGGGCUCAGAAUAUUAUUUUUGUUGCUUCAAAGAGUUAAAGGUGAAUCAAUGGUAGCAGCAAAAGUUGCCCAUUUCUUUGCAUUUGUUCACUGUAUUAAUUAUUAUGGCAUUGAAUUGAAAGCUUUUAGUUGAUACUGGGUUUGGUUUCUACUAUAGUUAUGUGGCUGUGAGAUGUAAAAUUUCACCUUUACUGGAAAUUUGUUCAAGUUCAUUUGAGUUUUAACUUGUUUCAGAGUUUUAUGAGGCAAUGCAAAAUUCGGAUAAAUUUAAGAAGUAUUAUUUUAUACACUGACAAUAUAUUAGAUAGUUUUUUUAAGUUUAGUUUGUUCCUUGUUUCUUUGGCCACAAGGGAUAAAAAUGUUCAUCCUUGAGACACAGAUUUUACUAUUAGAAGAAUAUGUGUUUUACUUCUUGAUUAAUGGCUUCAUGUGGUCAUUUCAUCUUGAUAGCAUUCCCUCUAAACAAAAGGUUUGCUAGAGCUGGACUUUUACAGGGCUAUCCUCAUUUUGUUGUUUAUAUGUUGCGCUCUUUGCUGAUGCUUAUGUUUGAUAUAUUAUAUUGCUUGCUUUCAUUCCACUAGUGAAAAAGAUAAAAUGGUAAUCCUAAAUUCAAUGAAAUGAUAAUGGCCUGUAAUCAGGGGCAAAGUGAGGGGGGUGGCUGGGCUUACCAAAUUUUGUGCCACCAAUCAGUUUGUUGAACUCUAUAAUUAGUUAACUUUUUAGUCCAAAACUUAAGUACUAAUUAGAUUUUCUUUUGGUAUUCUUUAUCUAAGAUUACAGUUAAAUCUUUAAGUUAUGAAUUUACCUUCUCAAUCAAUCUAAUAAAUAUGUUGACACUAAUUAUUACAUCAAGACUUACAAAAGAAACUACAUUAAAUUAAAGAAAAUUUAGUUGCUAUAAUUUGCAAACAAACUUAAUCGACCAUGUAACUUUCUUCGUUUAUUAGAUACCUCCUAUCAAGCUUUAAUUGUUUAAAAGUUAUGUAAUUACUGUUUUAUCUUUAAAGAAGAAAUUAUUAGUUUGAUCUUUUUUUUUAAUCCUUUAUGUGGACAAUAUGAAUAACAAUAUGUGAAUAUAUAUAUAUAUAUAUUACUUAUUAAAAGAAAUUUAUACAUUAAAUUCAUUUGAAUUUAGCACACUUUUUGUUAAAAGUUAUCUUUACUUAACAUUUAUUUUUAUUUUUAUACUGGCACCCCUAGAUGUUUGCACCUGUCUAUAAAUGAUGUCUAGUCUUAACCUUUAAAUGAGUAUCAUCAAGUUGCAAUAGACAAGAGUUAUUAGUCGUAUCCUUUGAAUGAGUAUCAAGUUCCAAUAGUCAAGAGUUAUUCAGCAUAAUGAUAGUUGAAAGAUUCAUGCUUUCUUUCUUUGAGGCUUCUUUGAAACAGAAUGCUGAAUUGAUAGAACCGAGUACAAAGGUGAACUCUAUUGCUAUUCCCAUGAUCUUUUGAAGAAUGGCUCCCAAUCAAAUAAAUGCGUGUCUUUUCUUGAAAUUAGGGAUGGCAAUGGUAGGGUAUACAAGGGUAUCAGGCACUAUCCGACCAAUUUAAUUAGGAUUAGGAUACCCUAUAAACAGGUUUAGGUAGGGUAUGGGUAAUAAGCUUAGGGUAUCCACCACCUGAGCGUGAUUAUAAAUAAUGGGUUUUUUAAUUUUUUUUUAAUAUUUAUAUUACUUAUAGUUGACAAAUCAUUUACUACAAUUUAUAAAGUGAAGGGAUUAACUUACACCAAUGUAAAACUAAAAUGUUUUAUACUUUUUUUUUAACCAUUGAUUUCAAUAUAUCCAAAGGAUAAGAGAGUCAAGUGAAAAAGAAAAAAAUGAUUUAAUCUCAUCCCUUAUAUCUAUUAAAAUCAAUGGAUAGAAAAAAGUGUAAAAUUUUUUGGUGUAAGUUGAUCCCUUCCCAUUUAUAAAUGAUCUAUAUGAAGUAUAUUUUUAAAAUUAUUAAUUUAAUUUUGAUUAAUAAAACAUAUAAAAAUAAUUUAAAAUAUUUUUUAUUAUUGAAUUUGGCCUGGUCGGGUUUUUUUUAAAGGGUACACGUACUCUUUUUAACUAAAUAAAGAGUUUUAAUAAGGUGUUGCUAAACAAGUUCGGAUAGGGUAUUGGUAUUGCUUUUGGUAAUUGGAUUUGCAUAUGUGUAUCUCAAAAUUAGUGGGUAUCCUAACCGUUGUCAUCCCUGACUGAAAUGGUGAUCUCCAUCUAAGCAUCUUUUAGUUUUGGAGUCAACAGGCUGUUGUAAGAAACAAUCAGGUUUUUCUUUACAUUUGGCUCUCUCUUUCACUUACAAAAUGACGUUUACACACACUGGAAAUAAGUAGGAGAAAAUUUUCCAUCUACUCUGCUGAUAAUUAAUUUUACUGGUUAUUUUUCUGAAUUUAAGGGAGAAGUUGAACUUCUCAACCUAGGCUUUAGAUUGCAGCUUUGUAUUGUAUGAGAAAUGUUUUGACCUUAUAUUCUUUUUAGUACAUACUUGUGGGUACUGGUUAAGAUGCUACAUAUCAGAAAAUUUGUUUUUGUUUUAAUUUUUUAAUACAUUGUCUAGAUUCAGAUUGGCUGGUAUGUUGCUCAAGUAUAUUUUCUUUGAUACACAUACCUUCUUGAAAGUUAUCAUGGAUAAUAUUGUUUUAAAAAUAUAAAACAUAUGUUAAUGUAGUUCAUUGUUUAUGCUUGUAGGUGAAUGGUAGGGGCAGUAGCCCCAAGAACUGUGCCUCAACACUCUAGAUUUUGUGAAGCCACAUCAUCUCACUUUUUCACUAAAAACCAAUUGCCUGUUGCUACAAGUUGCCUAGCUGCAAGUGUAAAUGAAAUGAAAAUUUGACCAUGAUAAGAAAUGGUAAAACAUGCUUUUAAAGAUUUUAAAAUACUAUACCAUCGCACGCUCCAUAUAAAGAAAAUGGAAAAAAAAAGAG
rnacentral:lncRNA from 1 species